GGAAGGUUGUCCGAGCUGGCCGAAGGAGCACGCCUGGAAAGUGUGUAGGCGUCACAAGCGUCUCAAGGGUUCGAAUCCCUCUUCCUCCGCCA
rnacentral:tRNA from 1 species